rnacentral:rRNA from 1 species
GGGUGACAGGUGGUGCAUGGUUGUCGUCAGCUCGUGUCGUGAGAUGUUGGGUUAAGUCCCGCAACGAGCGCAACCCUUGUCCUUAGUUACCAGCACGUUAUGGUGGGCACUCUAAGGAGACUGCCGGUGACAAGCCGGAGGAAGGUGGGGAUGACGUCAAGUCAUCAUGGCCCUUACGGCCUGGGCUACACACGUGCUACAAUGGUCGGUACAAAGGGUUGCCAAGCCGCGAGGUGGAGCUAAUCCCAUAAAACCGAUCGUAGUCCGGAUCGCAGUCUGCAACUCGACUGCGUGAAGUCGGAAUCGCUAGUAAUCGUGAAUCAGAAUGUCACGGUGAAUACGUUCCCGGGCCUU